rnacentral:pre_miRNA from 14 species
UGCCCAGCUGAAUUUGAAUUUCAGAUAAACAAUAAAGAAAAAAACUUUUUUCGUGUUAAGUAUGUCCCAUGAAAUAUUUGGGACAUACUUAUACUAAAAAACUAUCCAUUCUUCAUUUGAAAUUCAAGUUGAAUUGGGUGUC